GUGAGGAAUUUUCCGCAAUGGGCGAAAGCCUGACGGAGCAAUGCCGCGUGAAGGAUGAAGGCCUAUGGGUUGUAAACUUCUUUUCGCAGAAAAGAAUUAUGACGGUAUCUGAGGAAUAAGCAUCGGCUAACUCUGUGCCAGCAGCCGCGGUAAGACAGAGGAUGCAAGCGUUAUCCGGAAUGAUUGGACGUAAAGCGUCUGUAGGUUGUUUAAAAAGUAUUCUGUCAAAGAUUAGGGCUUAACACUAGAUAGGCAGAAUUAACAAUUAAGCUAGAGUUUGGUAGAGGCAGAGGGAAUGCCCGGUGGGGCGGUGAAAUGCGUACAUAGCGGGAGGAACACCAAAGGCUAAGGCACUCUGCUGGGCCAAUACUAACACUGAGAGACGAAAGCGAGGGGAGCAAAUGGGAUUAGAAACCCGAGUAGUCC
rnacentral:rRNA from 1 species